GUUUUUCCUGUCCCUUCAGUUUCGGUUGAAUCUCAUGGUGGUAGCAAAUGGUAGAGUCUCUUAAAGAAUUUUUUUUGGUAAAAGUUCCAGACAGGUCAGGUCAGUAACCACUACAUGAAUAGCGGUACACUAAAGACAACCAUGGAAACAGCACGCAUCAAGAAACAGGAUCAGCUUUAUAAAAAUUUUCAUACUUUUUAUUUGCAUCAGUGUUCACCAGAUUGAUUCAUUCCCAAGGGCACAAGAAAAAGAACAAAAAAUUUUCCAUCCGAUUCAGCCCAUCCGUGAUGGGGAGAGAGGCUUGCAUCUGUAAUUAUUUAUCCAGGGCACGUUCGCUUGUUGCCGGUGUACAAAACACACCUCACACUUGUCCAUGUACACACAGUAAUACGAGAAAAAAAAACAAGCCUAAAGCAA